GUGGGUAUAGCUCCAUGGUAGAGCAUACACUUGGCAUGCACAAGGUCCUGGGUUCAAUCCCUGGUACCUCCA
rnacentral:tRNA from 1 species